rnacentral:lncRNA from 1 species
CGUAUUUUUAUUAUUAUUAUUAUUUUUAUUUUUAUUUUUAUUUUUAAAAGAUCGACCACGUAAAAAUUAAAAUAGCUUUCGUUAAGAAUUUUUAAUCGGAUUACUGAAGUCAUUCUCUCUAAACGGAAGAGAAAUGACGUUCGUUCUUUAGGCCAACUUAUCUAAAAACACAGUUGUUAUUUAUAGAAUAUUGAUCUGGGUUCUGUUUUCUUGGCGAUUUCUCUUCGCCUAACUCUGGUGUUUUUGCUAAGAAAUUUAUGUUCGAUCUUUUUGCCUUACUAAAACGAAAUAUGGGCUAUUACGCUUGACUUCGAAAGAUAAGUUAUUUGAACUCGAUAAUGAUCACCCGCGAAUUUGACCAAUGGCAGAUAUGACCUAUUUUCAAACGAGCGAAUCGAAGCUUCGAUUUCUUACGACGUCAUCGACAUAUUACGCAAAGCGCGGUGUUUAUUUCCUAAAACUGAAAAAAUUCUGUUUUUUUUUUUUUUUUUCCUGUUUAUGAAGAUAAUUUUCAUGGCGAGUUAAUAAAAAACAGAAUGGUGGCAUAUUUUUGUUUACCCACACAAUACGUGUCGUUGGAGAACGAGAGAUAAAUAAAAGCACCUUUCAGUGACAUCAUUCAGAGAUUGUAACACACAAUAAUGUCUGAAGUGAAGCGACAAUAGUCACCUUUGUCACGACUACCCUCCGUUGAAAUGCCAAUGAACUCUAAGAGUUAUUUUUGAUGAACUUGUUACAUAAUUAAAGAUAUAUUAAUGUUAUAAAACAAUGAGGGUAAUUAAACCUGUAUCCCCUUUCUAUUUCGAAAAAAAAAUCAAUUAAAAAAAAAAAAAAAGGUUUCGAAAUGCAUCCUCGAUCAAUAGCCGAAGUAGAAAAUAAUGUUUGCGAAAGUUUAUCACAAACCAAACCUCUUCCAUGCUCCAUUCAUUUUGAACUAUAGGAGUUUUGUCGGAUUUUUGAGCAAUUUCCGAAGCUUUUUUUUUUUUUUUUAUUUUUCCUCCUCCCCCGAGUUUCCGCUUACAAAAUUGUCAGGGGGUCUUUUUUUUUAUGAUUGGUUGCACACGGAAAGAUGUUAUGUCCGAUAUAAGCGUACUUCCUCGAAGGAUUUAUAAAUGCAGAAAUAACUGUUCUCUGAACGAGCAUAUCAAAGAAUAGGGCCUUGACUUGUCACCUUGAAUGCAACCUUGAGCUAAACACGCUGCUAAAGCUUGGGUUGAUGGCACGUGACAUCCUUGUUUAAAAAAAAAAAAAAAUUGUUUUAGUAAUUGGUUAUUGUGUCUCAGUUUUAAAUUAAAGACGUGCGGUUAUGUUUAUAAAACGUCACCAUUUUUACGUGCAAACCUAAUUGAAUAAAAUGCGAAAUAAAUAAAAAAAAACAUUUUUUUUUUUUUCUUGAGUAUUGGUAACGUUACUCGAGCGUAAAACGAACUUUUAGAAAUGUUUAAAGAAUAUUCAUCGGUUCGGAAGAUUCUAUCUGCUGAAUUGAACACGUUUGAGAAAAUAUGUUGCAUGCCCACCGAAUAAAUAAUUUUUGUUGUUAUAAGCGCAACUGGGCGGCAACUCGCACGCAAAAGCAAAAUAACAUAUAAAUUAUUAAAUAAUAUCGUUUAGCGAAAAUAGUAGUAACCGGCAAGUGUCAUAAAUAUACCCACUUAUUUUAAAUGAAGAUUAUUGUUUAUAAAUUUGCACAGGAAGUGUGAAAUCCGUUUUUUUGAAUGCCUAGUUUGAUUUAUUCUGAUAUUUUAAACUCGUAACCAAAAUUCUAAACCC